ACACGACUCUCGGCAACGGAUAUCUCGGCUCUCGCAUCGAAGAACAUAGCGAAAUGCGAUACCUGGUGUGAAUUGCAGAAUCCCGCGAACCAUCGAGUCUUUGAACGCAAGUUGCGCCCGAGGCCACUCGGCCGAGGGCACGCCUGCCUGGGCGUCACGC
rnacentral:rRNA from 1 species